GAUGAACGCUAGCUACAGGCUUAACACAUGCAAGUCGAGGGAGGGGCGCACGGGUGAGAUACAUGUGACCAACCUGCCUGUUACGCGGGGAUAGCUUUUCGCAAGAACGAUUAAUACCUGAUGUAAUGGAUGGGGAUGCGUUCCAUUAGGUGGUUGGUGAGGUAACGGCCUACCAAGCCUUCGCUGGCUAGGGGUUAUGAGUGGAAGGCCCACCGCAAUGGAACUGAGACACGGUCCAAACUCCGACGGAAGGCAGCAGUGAGGAGUAUUGGUGAAUGGGCGUUAGCCUGAACCAGCCAAGUAGCGUGAAGGAUGAAUGCUUAUGGGUCGUAUACUUCUUUUAUAGAAGAAUAUGUAUUAUAUGAAUAAGGAUCGGCUAACUCCGUGCCAGCAGCCGCGGUAAUUC
rnacentral:rRNA from 1 species